UAUCUAUGAUGAUCCUAUCUUGAACCUAAAUUUUCUAGUGAAAAAAGUUAAUGUGAGUCUGACUUCUGAGAU